AAAACUAGCCAGUCUUUUGGGUAUGAAACCCAUUUGGGCGAGAGUAGUACUAGGAUGGGUGACCUCCUGGGAAGUCCUCAUGAAAGAGUUU
rnacentral:rRNA from 1 species